GAUACAGCAGUGAUUAGCAGUGAUUAGCAUGGUGGUGGUGUAUGAGGUGUUAGUGUUGUUGAGCUGGUGGUACAGUGAGUGGAUCAGAUACAGCAGUGAUUAGCAUGGUGGUGGUGUAUGAGGUGUUAGUGAGUGUUGAGCUGGUACAGUGAGUGGAUCAGAUACAGCAGUGAUUAGCAGUGAUUAGCAUGGUGGUGGUGUAUGAGGUGUUAGUGAGUGUUGAGCUGGUGGUACAGUGAGUGGAUCAGAUACAGCAGUGAUUAGCAUGGUGGUGGUGUAUGAGGUGUUAGUGUGUGUUGAGCUGGUGGUACAGUGAGUGGAUCAGAUACAGCAGUGAUUAGUACUGAUUAGCAUGGUGGUGGUGUAUGAGGUGUUAGUGAGUGUUGAGCUGGUGGUACAGUGAGUGGAUCAGAUACAGCAGUGAUUAGCAUGGUGGUGGUGUAUGAGGUGUUAGUGUGUGUUGAGCUGGUACAGUGAGUGGAUCAGAUACAGCAGUGAUUAGCAGUGAUUAGCAUGGUGGUGGUGUAUGAGGUGUUAGUGAGUGUUGAGCUGGUGGUACAGUGAGUGGAUCAGAUACAGCAGUGAUUAGCAUGGUGGUGGUGUAUGAGGUGUUAGUGAGUGUUGAGCUGGUGGUACAGUGAGUGGAUCAGAUACAGCAGUGAUUAGCAGUGAUUAGCAUGGUGGUGGUGUAUGAGGUGUUAGUGAGUGUUGAGCUGGUGGUACAGUGAGUGGAUCAGAUACAGCAGUGAUUAGCAUGGUGGUGGUGUAUGAGGUGUUAGUGUGUGUUGAGCUGGUACAGUGAGUGGAUCAGAUACAGCAGUGAUUAGCAGUGAUUAGCAUGGUGGUGGUG